AGUGUUUUUGUUUCAUAUGCCUCUCUCAAAAUUCGAAAGUUCUUUUAAAACCUUUUAAUUUCUAUAAUUCUUUGUUUUGCAUUAUGAAUUUUGCUAUUAUUUUUUAUAGCUGUAUUAGAGUUAUAACCAUAAAACUCUGGAAUAGAAAGACGACAAUUUAGUAAAAUUAUGACUUAAAAUAGUCAACAUGAGACAAAGCAAUAGUGCAGUGUGAACAAACCAAUUUUACUUAAUAUGUGAACUAUUAAGUCACAAGUAAAACUAUUUGCCUUGUAACAACAUCAAAUACACUUUAUUAUUGCCUUAAUAUCGUCUUCCUAUUCCACAGUUUUCAGGUUAUCACUAUACAGUUCAUAAAGUUUUUGGCAAAUAGUAUAAUCCUGACUAAAAAAGAUGAAAAUAAUUGUUUAAGCUGAAAAGCAUUGUUAUCUUUGCAUAGAGGUUACUUGAAAUUCCCCGUACACUCCCUUUAAUAACAUUUCUAAGGUUUCACCUUGCCUCCUUUCAACCUACGAUAUGUAACUAUUCUUCUAGAAAGCAACAGUGGUCCCCGUUUACAUCAAUACAAUGAAGACGAUUUUUCUGUUAAAGUUCAGAUUUUUAACAAGUUUUUCAAACUACAAGUUUACAAGUUAACAAAGAGAAGAUGUAGCUUCUCAUUUCUCCGUUUGGUAAAAAUCGAAAUUGAAAUAAAAAAUCAUAUUGUAUUGAUAUAUACGACGACGACUGGAAACAACCCCAGUGUCCACUCCUUUUAUUACAAACAAACUGUUUUCUGUAUUAUUCUUGGAUCCGGUUCAAUCUAACAGUUGAGGUACUAAAUGUACACUAAGUGAACAAUCUUUUUUGGGUCGAUUUUCCAUUUUUUAUUUCUUUAGAAUGAUUCAACAAGAUAGAACAGUUUAAUAAAAUCAAACUUAAAGAGAAUACAGUUGCGAACUGUUGGAGGUUUUAUUGAAAGUUUUUUUUUAAAAGCAAACCAAACUUGGAAGUUAAUUUUCAACCAGAAAAAGUCGAUAUCUACGUUAUCAUCUUUGCUUGGACAGCGGUUUAAAAGCGGUUUAAAAGGUACCAAAGUAAAUCGUACAUUCCAUUCUAACAAAUUUGAAGUUAAUAUGAAGUUAGGGUUCCAGCUCCAUUCCCAAUUUGAUUUUAUUAAAAUAACUUAUUUUAUGUUAAAUUUUGAACUUAUUAUUUAACUUUUGCACAUAUAAGCAUGCAUAUAAAAUUAGCACAGAAUUAUUCGCACAACAUGUAUUUGCUAGUCACAAAAUUUAUUUUAUUAUGUAUAAAUGUUAUUUUAUACAAAAAAUGUAGUGUGGAUAUUUUUAACAAAUGAUAUCGAGAUGAGGUUUCCUAUAAUUUUAUUGGAUUUCAAUGCCCCCCCCCCCCUCCCCCACGAUAUACUACAGUGAUAGGCAAUCAAAUCAAUAUAAUAAAGACGACUUUUUAUUUAAGCUUAAAUGUGAACAAGCUUGUUUCGAAGUAAAUACAGAGAAGGUUUUAUAUAUCCAUGCUUUUGUGUAUGCUUUUUAAAGGCUGGAUAUAAAUCAAUAUUCCAAUCGAAAAUCGUCUUCAUUAUCUUUAUGUGAUUGCCUAUCACCGUAUCUUUUAUAUAAUUUUUAUUAGGAGUAUUUUUUUAUUUGAUUUUUUCAAAACUAUAUUUGAACGCUUUGAGAAAUUGAGG